GGCGUGGUAGUAUAGCGGUUAUUACAUUCCCGAGUUUGAGCGAAGAUCCCGGUUCGACUCCUGGUCCGUCA
rnacentral:tRNA from 1 species